rnacentral:tRNA from 1 species
GCCUAUUUAGCUCAGCAGGUAGAGCACUUCCAUGGUAAGGAAGAGGUCAUCGGUUCGAAUCCGAUAAUAGGCG